CUCCCCAGGCUGGAGUGCAGUGGUACAAUCUAGGCUCACAGCAACCUCCUCUCCCGGGUUCAACCAAUUCUUCUGUCUCAGCCUCCCAUGUUGCCACACCUGGUUAAUUUUUGUGUUUUUAAUAGAGAUGGGGUUUUGCCAUGCUUGCCAGGCUGGUUUCAAACUCCUGACCUCAGGUGAUCCACCCACUGCAGCCUCCCAAAGUGCUGGGAUUACAGACGAGAGCCGCCAUGCCUGCCUGCGUUUACAUAGUUUUAAGAAUGAAAGAUCUCCCAGGGUCUGAUUAUCCUGAAGAGCCGGAGAGUGUGCUGUGGGUGACCCUGCACCUGUGACUUCUGGAGAUGCUGUGUCCGGUCCUCCAGUCCCUGAGCACUUGAAGGAGGAGUAAGGUUCGGGAGGAUUCCCAGCUGCACCACAGGUCAUUGCAAAACAAGAUGGCCAGCGCGGUGUGGGAGCAAUUUGUGAGCCUUGUGUAGGCUUCUGCAACAUUUGGCUGAUUUGAAGUCACGAUAAAGAAGAAAGUUUUCCAGUGGAGUGAUUGCAUUAUCUAAUACUACAAAUCCUGAAAAGAAACCUGCUAAUAAUUAUUUUAAGCUAAUUCUUCUGUAAAGGUCAAACAGUGCUUGUGUGCUUAGCCACUAUCCUUAGGACACUCAUGCAAACAUCAGUCCAUUGUUGGGGGAAUACCAAAUCAAAUUCUGAGUUUAAUGUAUUUUCACAAAGGUUCUUUUUCCUUGUAGGAGCUUUUUAAACACUGAGAAUUCAGAGCCUUUACUGAUUCUGGAGACCUCUUAGAUAUUAACCCUUGAAUUGCUUGGCUUACCCAAACCGUGAUUCCCUGAAUCCCCUAUCUGAGCAAGGUGAGAAGCAGAUCAUCUGAGACCAACACCAAGCGAACCCACAGACCUGGGAUCCUUGAUGCCUCCAGCCCCCAAGGCUUGGAGCUUCCUGGGAUGCUGGCUCUGACCUAGAUUUCUCCCCACCCUGAACACCACAGAGUUCUCAGUGGGGUGUUCAUGCUGUUAAUUUCUGAGCUUUGAAAGGAUUGCAGAAGGCCAAUGGGGAUCAAGGAGGCC
rnacentral:lncRNA from 1 species